rnacentral:rRNA from 1 species
AGAGUUUGAUCAUGGCUCAGGAUAAACGCUGGCGGCGUGCUUCAGGCAUGCAAGUCGAACGAGUGGCCACCUUCGGGUGGUCUACUAGUGGCGGACGGGUGAGUAACGCGUUAGCAACCUGCCCAAAAGUGGGGAAUAACUAACCGAAAGGUUAGCUAAUACCGCAUGUGAUAGCUGGUUCUUGGACCGGUUAUGAAAGGCUUCGGUCGCUUUUGGAGGGGCUUGCGUCAGAUUAGCUAGUUGGUGGGGUAAUGGCCUACCAAGGCGACGAUCUGUAGCUGGUCUGAGAGGACGAUCAGCCACACGGGGACUGAGAUACGGCCCCGACUCCUACGGGAGGCAGCAGCUAGGAAUCUUGGGAAUGGGCGAAAGCCUGACCCAGCAACGCCGCGUGGGCGAUGAAGGCCUUCGGGUCGUAAAGCCCUUUUGCAGGGGACGAUGAUGACGGUACCCUGCGAAUAAGCCACGGCUAACUACGUGCCAGCAGCCGCGGUA